rnacentral:rRNA from 1 species
CCCACCCUUUGCCUAUGUGUACCCUUCAUAGCUUCCUCGGCGGGCUCGCCCGCCGCCAGGAACCCACGAAACCCCUUGCAUCCUACAUGAAAACUUCCGAUUACCAACCUAAAUUAUCACAACUUUCAACAAUGGAUCUCUUGGUUCUGGCAUCGAUGAAGAACGCAGCGAAAUGCGAUAAGUAGUGUGAAUUGCAGAAUUCAGUGAAUCAUCGAAUCUUUGAACGCACAUUGCGGCCAUAGGUAUUCCUUUGGCCAUGCCUGUUCGAGCGUCAUUUACACCCUCAAGCCUAGCUUGGUGUUGGGCGUCUUGUCCCGCCGUUUCUCGCGCGCGGACUCGCCUCAAAGUCAUUGGCGGCGGUCGUGCCGGCCCCUCGCGCAGCACAUUUGCGCUUCUCGGAGGCCUGGCGGAUCCGCGCUCCAGCAAGACCUUUUUUCAUGACUUGACCUCGGAUCAGGUAGGGAUACCCGCUGAACUUAAGCAUAUCAAU